UACGUAGGUGGCUAGCGUUGUCCGGAUUUACUGGGCGUAAAGAGCGCGCAGGCGGUCGUUCAAGUCGAGUGUGAAAGCCCCCGGCUCAACUGGGGAGGGUCACUCGAUACUGAUCGACUUGAAGGCGGGAGAGGGAAGCGGAAUUCCCGGUGUAGUGGUGAAAUACGUAGAGAUGUGGAGGAACACCAGUGGCGAAGGCGACUCUUUGGCCUGUAACUGACGCUGAGGCGCGAAAGCGUGGGGAGCAAACAGG
rnacentral:rRNA from 1 species